rnacentral:rRNA from 1 species
CCGUGAAACUGCGAAUGGCUCAUUAAAUCAGUUAUAGUUUAUUUGAUGGUAUCUCUUACCUGGAUAACCGUGGUAAUUCUAGAGCUAAUACAUGCUACAAACCCCGACUUACGGAGGGGUGUAUUUAUUAGAUAAAAAACCGAUGCCCUCCGGGGCUCUGUGGUGAUUCAUGAUAACUCAACGAAUCGCAUGGCCUUGCGCCGGCGAUGGUUCAUUCAAAUUUCUGCCCUAUCAACUUUCGAUGGUAGGAUAGUGGCCUACCAUGGUCUCAACGGGUAACGGGGAAUUAGGGUUCGAUUCCGGAGAGGGAGCCUGAGAAACGGCUACCACAUCUAAGGAAGGCAGCAGGCGCGCAAAUUACCCAAUCCCAAUACGGGGAGGUAGUGACAAUAAAUACCGAUACAGGGCUCUUUCGGGUCUUGUAAUUGGAAUGAGUACAAUCUAAAUCCCUUAACGAGGAACAAUUGGAGGGCAAGUCUGGUGCCAGCAGCCGCGGUAAUUCCAGCUCCAAUAGCGUAUAUUAAAGUUGUUGCAGUUAAAAAGCUCGUAGUUGAACCUUGGGCCUGGCCGAUCUGUCUUCCUAACCGUUGUACGGAUUCGGUCGGGCCUUUCCUUCUGGGGAACCCCAUGCCCUUCGCUGGGCGUGGUGGGGAACCAGGACUUUUACCUUGAAAAAAUUAGAGUGUUCAAAGCAGGCCUUUGCUCGAAUACAUUAGCAUGGAAUAAUGGAAUAGGACAGCAGUUCUAUUUUGUUGGUUUCUAGGACCGCUGUAAUGAUUAAUAGGGAUAGUCGGGGGCGUCAGUAUUCAAUUGUCAGAGGUGAAAUUCUUGGAUUUAUUGAAGACUAACUAUUGCGAAAGCAUUCGCCAAGGAUGUUUUCAUUAAUCAGUGAACGAAAGUUAGGGGAUCGAAGACGAUCAGAUACCGUCGUAGUCUUAACCAUAAACUAUGCCGACUAGGGAUUGGACGGUGUUUCUUUUAUGACCCGUUCAGCCCUUACAAGAAAUCAAAGUUUUUGGGCUCUGGGGGGAGUAUGGUCGCANGGCUGAAACUUAANNAAUUGACGGAAGGCACCACANGNGUGGA